rnacentral:tRNA from 1 species
CGGGAAGUAGCUCAGCUUGGUAGAGCACUUGGUUUGGGACCAAGGGGUCGCAGGUUCGAAUCCUGUCUUCCAGA